AUGGACAGCAGGCAGCUGGCUUCUGCUCCACCAUUUGCUCAGCACCAAGGCCUGGGACAACUUAUUGGUUCCUUACAAGGCCACAGCAGAGCACAAUCAUGGAGGAUCCAGGAUUGCAUAGAAGGAAGCAGCCAAGCAUUGGAGGUCGACAUGCCUGUGCCCAAAUCCCACGUGUUAUGUCCUGUGUGGGUUGACACUGGGAUGGCUGGUGACCUGCUCCUUGUGUUCACACCCUGUGUAGUGGGGGUGCCUCCCAAGUGUGGGCUGGCCUAGCAACUUGCUUCUAACCAAAGGUGACAGGGUGUCACUUCUAAGAUUAGGUUUCAAGAGAUUGUAGCCUCCCUUACAAGCAGAUUCUUUAUUGCCUUCUCGGGUCACACACAUUGAUAAAGUAAGCAGGCCCAUGUGGCAAGGAACUGACAGUGACCUCCAGCCAACAGCUGGCAGGAACUGAGGCCCUUGGUCUAACUGCUCAGAUGGAACUGAAUUCUGUCAACUGCGGAAUGCCUUAGAGGCAGGUCCUUGCCCGGCUGAGCUUCCAGAUGAGCCCCCAGCCCUAGCUGACACCUGGACUGCAGCCUCAUAAGAGACCCUGAAGCAGAGGAUUCUGCAGAGACACACCCAGAUUCCUGAGGCACAGAAACUGUGAGAUAAUAAAUGUGUUUUUGCUGUUG
rnacentral:lncRNA from 10 species